AUUGAACGCUGGCGGUAGGCCUAACACAUGCAAGUCGAGCGGAUGACGGGAGCUUGCUCCUUGAUUCAGCGGCGGACGGGUGAGUAAUGCCUAGGUAUCUGCCUGGUAGCGGGGGACAACGUUUCGAAAGGAACGCUAAUACCGCAUACGUCCUACGGGCGAAAGCAGGGGACCUUCGGGCCUUGCGCUAUCAGAUGAGCCUAGGUCGGAUUAGCUUGUUGGUGAGGUAAUGGCUCACCAAGGCGACGAUCCGUAACUGGUCUGAGAGGAUGAUCAGUCACACUGGAACUGAGACACGGUCCAGACUCCUACGGGAGGCAGCAGUGGGGAAUAUUGGACAAUGGGCGAAAGCCUGAUCCAGCCAUGCCGCGUGGGUGAAGAAGGUCUUCGGAUUGUAAAGCACUUUAAGUUGGGAGGAAGGGUUGUAGAUUAAUACUCUGCAGUUUUGACGUUACCGACAGAAUAAGCACCGGCUAACUCUGUG
rnacentral:rRNA from 1 species